AGUGAACGCUGGCGGUAGGCCUAACACAUGCAAGUCGAACGGCAGCACAGUAAGAGCUUGCUCUUACGGGUGGCGAGUGGCGGACGGGUGAGGAAUACAUCGGAAUCUACUUUUUCGUGGGGGAUAACGUAGGGACACUUACGCUAAUACCGCAUACGACCUACGGGUGAAAGCAUGGGAUCUUCGGACCUUGCGCGAUUGAAUGAGCCGAUGUCGGAUUAGCUAGUUGGCGGGGUAAAGGCCCACCAAGGCGACGAUCCGUAGCUGGUCUGAGAGGAUGAUCAGCCACACUGGAACUGAGACACGGUCCAGACUCCUACGGGAGGCAGCAGUGGGGAAUAUUGGACAAUGGGCGCAAGCCUGAUCCAGCCAUACCGCGUGGGUGAAGAAGGCCUUCGGGUUGUAAAGCCCUUUUGUUGGGAAAGAAAAGCAGCAGGUUAAUACCCCGCUGUUCUGACGGUACCAAAAGAAUAAGCACCGGCUAACUUCGUG
rnacentral:rRNA from 1 species